rnacentral:lncRNA from 1 species
AAAAAAAAAAAAAAAAAAAAACCCUGCUGAAUGAGUGAAGAAAACUUUGGUCUGUUUUCUACACCUAGUAAUCAGUUGGGGAAGCAAUCCAAGUAAGCAGGAAGGAGUUUUCAUCUCAACUGACCAGAGAAGGGAGAUUCAAAGUACCAGGCUAAUAAUCUGAACCCUCAUCUGUCACCGUUUUAUUUUAUUAACCCUAAUCUGUCACUGUUUUACUGAUUGCAGGGGUCUUUCUAGCCAUUUUUACCCUGCUUCCAUAGAAUGGUUAAAGCUACCCUUUUUCAGAUGAAUGAAUUGCAUCAAAUAAAGGAGAAGAUAAUGUAGACCACUAGGCCAGGUUUAAACUGAUUUGGGAAAGACAGUACUUUCAUAAUCUGUGUUAACUCUGGGCUGAAAGAGUUUACAGAUUCAGCACAAAACCAGCUACAUUAACCAUACCUGGAUUUGACUUGAAUUAGGAACUGGUGCAACAAAGUCUUAAGUUUGAUAAAACCAAUGGGGAAAAAAAAAUUUAAAGGAAACCAUGCCUUUUUAAACAUCAUUCUUAGCUUUCUUGCUCUUCCUUAUAACCCUCUCUGAAUGUAAGAGUACAACUGCUGUUGUCUAUGCCUCUCACUCCAAAGGCAAGCAAUGACUAAUUCACCAAGGGUGAGUCAAUUCCAGAAACUUGAGUUUGAGGUCCUCACGUUCUAGUCUAUAGAUCAAAUAAUUUGAGAUAAAUAAAUAAAAAUAAAGAAAAAGUAGAUCUAGGAAAAUAUCUAAUGUUGUACUUUUCUGAGCAUAACAACUAAGUACUGAAUCUGGGCAAGAGUUGGGAAUUCUCACCAUUUAUUCAAUAUACUGAAUAUGCUUUGCUGUUUGGUGUCUACGGCCAGAGUAUUGCUUCUAGACAGGCUAAUCUGUACUCCUAGAAUGACACCCUGUGGUUGGACAUAUCAAUAGCAGAAGACUCGCUUGUCAUUCUUUUCUUUUUCUUUUUGAAAAAAUGGUCAUUAUGAAAUGCAGUGGAUGCACACAACUAACAGACCAAAUAACUUUACCGCUUGAAAUAGACUGAGUAGUGUUAGCAAGAACAAAGAAAAUAUUUCAGUAUUUAUAUAACUUAAUAGUUGUACAUCACGACAUGUAGCAACAAUUCCCUGACCAAGUAGGCAGAAAUAUUUCUGCUAAAAAUAAGUCAUAACAGGGGCGCCUGGGUGGCUCAGUCGGUUGAGCAUCCGACUUCGGCUCAGGUCAUGAUCUCAGAGUUCAUGAGUUCGAGCCCCGUGUUGGGCUCUGUGCUGACAGCUCGGAGCCUGGAGCCUGCUUCGGAUUCUGUGUCUCCCUCUCUCUCUGCUCCUAACCCACUCAUACUCUAUCUCUUUCUCUCUCUUUCAAAAAUAAGUAAACACUAAAAAAAAAAGUUAAAAAAAAAAGUCAUAACAUUUCAUUGUGUUUACAAAGCAAGUGCAUGUUCAUCUCUGACAUUUCUCUGGAGACCCAAGACAGCUUUAGGUCACCUCGAGUAGUUGUGCUAGUAUCUCUAUUUUGCAAUCAUAGAAACCAAAGGUCAGUAAAGGUUAAAAAAAUUUUUUUUAAGUCAUCUGGCUAGUAAAAUGCUAGUAAUAAGCUCUGCAUCGAGGUCUUUUGUAUUUAAAAUCUAUUACUUUUCUCAGGGAGCCCUGGUGUAAUGAAAUCAACUAGUCAUUACAAAUUCCAGCUUUGAAAAUUUAAUCAUCUGCAGUAUCUUUUCGGUUUAAAAUAGAGCAAAACAUUCUGCUGCCAGAGUGGGAUAUCGGAUUACCAACAUUUUCUCCCUCUCCUAUCUGUCUAUAUAAAUCUUCAUGGUCUUUAAGGCUGGUCAACACCUACUCCCCCCCCCCCCCCACCAUGCUUUCAUUCAUUGUAAACUCUUAUGAACCUCUGAUAUUCUGAACAUUUAUUGAAUUACUCUCUUGAAGCUUAUUUGUCACUGAGUCAUUGUGAUGUCAAGCAAUAUCAUGUUUAUCUUGAACACACUUAAAUAUUUCCUGUCAUUUAACUUUCCACCUGUUCAUCUUCCAAGUGAAUACCUUGAGAAUGAGACCGCAUUCUUUCUUGCUGUUCCUUGUCUGUACAGGACUCAAAACAAUACUUUGAUCCUAAAUUAUCUAGAAAGGAGAGCUGAAAUAAUUAUAACCUAGCUGCUUACAUAUGCUGUCAUCUUUAAUAUUUAUAUGUUUAAGAUACAACUUGCCUUUUGGUUCUGAAUACAUAAUUUCCUUACACCUGAAAUGUACAUUUAUUUAUAGUUCAAUAUGAUUUCAAUUUCAGUAGGGUAAAAUUUUUGUUUGUUUCCAGCCUAAUAUGAAUAUAUUCAAUAUAUUUUACCCACAGUUUAUGUAUGUUAUAGAAAGAACAUAUAUGGGAUUUAAGGCAUUUUAAUGUAUUAAACUAGAAAGAGAAAAAUACCCUCUGUUAGAAAUCAUUCCUUACUGUCCCAUGCUUUCCAUCACUGCAUUCUUUUAAAUUUGGCUGUAAGAACACCCGUAUUUACUUUCAGUUCUCAUGGCUCCUGAGUGCUUACCUCGGGUCAGUGUGAAUGAGCCUCUUAAAGAAGUAAGUCUAUGUAACUUCUACUGCCCUGCUGUGCUAGAAUUUGCUACUGCCUGGGAGUGGUGUGGAGGCAGAGGGGGGAUGGAAGUGACAGGCGGAGGAACAGAGGAGAUCUAAGGGGUGAGGGAGUGAUAUGCCUCUCAAACUUCAAACUGCAAGCAAUCUCUGUCUUCUUAAUUAUCUUGAGUUCCUUAUGCACACAAAGCUAGAACUUCACCCUUUCUCCUCUAAAGCAAACAUUUGUAAUCCAAUCACGGGGUUAUAUUAUCCAGAUGUUUGAGACCUUGAGAAGUUAUUCAUGUAUUUGCUUUAAAAUUAAACAUAUUUCUCUCAAAUCGCACUUUGAACACAGACUGAGUGCCCGUCUAAAGGGCUCCCAUAACCAGACAAACUUCAUACUUGGUUAAAUGUUUAAUUUUUACAACCGAUACGCCUUGUCCACAGUACUGAUAAGGCUUUUGGGAAAAAAAAACAAUGAUAGAACUACCAUCACCACCAACAACAAAAAAAUCAUUGUAAAGAAAGAAGGUAACAAGAUAAGUAAGGUAUGUAGCUGCCCAAUUAGCUAUUAUAUUCUCCUUGGACAUUCGCUCCCUCAUUAUAGUUUACAAAGUGAAGAAUGUAGUAGGGUGGUCCCUACUGAAACUGGAAAAAUAGAUUCAGCCACAUUAAAUGAUGCAGACUUUAGGGUGUCAGCUUGCAUGUCAAGCUCUUCAGUGACAGCUAAAUUUUACACAAAAUAACCUAACAUCCGAGGUAGUCUCACAAUCAGCUUUGAAAAGGUUUCCAAAUAAAAAUCCUAGCAACAGAAAGCGUGACCUCCAGAAGUCUUAAGUUUGAAACCGAAGGCUGCCAAGAGAUGAGCAAACCUAUGAGGCUAGGUAUAUGUACAUGACUAAUUCUUGCCAACUGGAGGAGCCAGAAAAGAUAGCACUGUUAGGCCGAAGGGAGGAUUUUAAACUUGAUCCUGGAAGCUGCUGACAACCACUGGAGUUCCCUUUGGUUUGGAAUACCACUGGGGAAUGACUAAAGUUUAAAUUGCCAACCACCCUCGACUCAUGCUUAUGCUAAUUAUAUAAAUCCCCACUGUCGCCCAAUUGCUGCAGUGGUGAAAGCCACGCAAAAUAAGGUAAAAUGAGGUAUGAAAUAUGUUUCCUAACCAUGGGGAAAAUAAUCUUGUCAACUACAAGAUUUAAUUCACUGUAGCCUCAUCAUCUGUAAUACAUGAUGACAUCCUGGCUCAGCGGCCAGCUACUGAUAUUAAUUAUUCGGACUUGAUUGGGGUUAACUGCUUUUGCUUAAGGUUUCAGAAUUCUCUAAUUUCAGCUGUCUCCAUGAUUCAGGGCUCUAACUACUUAUUAGAAAUGACGGGAUGUGCUAAAUAUGACUCUAGAAAAACUCAAGGUGUUUUAUUAGAGAGAAUUAUCCUUUCCAGUAUAUCGACAAAUGGAAUGCCCCUAAAUUUAUAUUUGAAGGGCUUCCUCUCAUUUGGUUCCAACCUAUAUCUGUGCUAAUGUAAAGGCAAUAGAUUUCCGGUAUUUUUGAAACUAUAUUAUCAGCUACGAAUGUAAUGUAAUGGCUCCCCCUGCGUUUUGAUGGGUAGCCCGGAUAAGAUGGCGUUAUUAUUAUUUUAAAAAACACCCUAUCACAAGGUUUUGUGUUUUUUUUUUAUUUUUUAUUUAUUUUCAAUGUAUUUUUUAAUGUUUAUUUAUUUUUGAGAGAGACAGAGACAGAAUGCGAGUAGGUUAGGGGCAGAGAGAGAAGGAGACACAGAAUCCAAAGCAGGCUCCAGGCUCUGAGCUGGCAGCACAGAGCCCGACGCGGGGCUCGAACUCACGGGCUGUGAGAUCAUGACCUGAGCCGAAGUUAUACACUCAACCGACUGAGCCACCCAGGCGCCCCCUAUCACAAGGUUUUAAUACAGCUCUUUAAUGUCUGAAAUAUCAUAUUUAAUAAAUGUCUCAAAUAGUAGUAAGUUCAGUACAAAUCACUACAAUUAUUUUUUUCACCAUUACAACACGUAAUAAAAUUUAUUUCUAGAAACAAAUGGAUAUGAUUAAUUGAGUUGAGCUGAGUUCAGAGAAUAGCAGACAAGUAAAUACAAGUAAAAGCAAAAAGCUACUUACUGAAAAUUAUCUCAUUACAUAAAAAAGACAGUCUAUUUUUAAAGUGUUUGGUUGCUCUUUGAGUGUAAACAUAUAUGUAUCGAAUCAUAUAUUAAAACUCACAAGUGUUUUGAUUUUGGUUUUUUUUACCGUUUAUUUAUUUUUGAGAGAGAGAGAACAGGUGUUUUGAUUUUGUGACAGACUAAUCUUAUGUACAGUAUUAUGAAGAGACACUGAAGAGCGAAUUAAUUUCAACCUCACUUUUCCGGUUAAAAUCAAAACUUCAACACAAAUCAUAAAUUUGUUCAUUUCCACAGUCCACAGAUUUGUCUUCUGAAAAUUUUUCAGAAAUCUCAAAAUGAUAAUAAAAAAUGUUUGGCUUCAAUAUAAUCAAGCACAUAAAACAAACCCAAGGCCAUGAAGAUAGACCACUCACAUUAUCAUAAACAUGAAGUAUUUCUUUCCGUCACAAAAAUAUUUUUGUUUCCCAAAGUUGACUAACAUAUUUUCUUCCCUUGAAAAUACCAUGGCUUCAUUUAAAGACAUUUGACAGAAACACUUAUUUUCCUAAGAUGCUGAAUCCCUUUAAUUGAUUUAUAUUCCUGAUCUCUAUUGUUAAGUGAGCAUGCUUUGUGACAUAUCUGGUAUAUGGAUGGACCAAAGAUGACCCUUUAUGUAGUGUUCUAUAUUGUUUGCUUCUUCACAGCAGGCUGGGAGCCAUUGGCUCAAAGUUCCUUAGCAUCAAACUCAAAAUUUUACACAUCCAGUUGGUUUAAAUAUGGCCCAAAUACAGAGAUUUUAAGACAUUUAGAGCCUGUCUGUUCCACCUCAAGAAACUAUAUCAAACAUUUGCUAGCCAUUGGGAAGGUAAACCUGAGCUAUAAAAGGCCCCAUUGCCUUUGGAGCUCUCUGACCCACAGUUGCCCCAUCUUGUACAGCAGUGACUUGAUAAUUAUACGCAUUAUAAAAUGUUCACCACGAUAAGUGCAGUUACCAUCUGUCAUCAUAUAAAGUUAUUACAUUAUUAUUGACUAUAUUCCCUUUACUGUACCCUUCAUCCUUGUGUCUUAUUUAUUUUAUAAUAGGAACUUUAUACCUCUUACUCCUCUUUACCUAUUUCACCUGUUACCCCCCGCCACCUCCCCUCUAACAAGCACCAUUUUGUACUCUGUGAGUCUGUUUUUGCUUUUGCUUGCUUAUUUGUUUGUUCAUUUCUUUUUUUAGAUACUAAAUAUAAGUGAAAUCAUAUGGUAUUUAUCUUUCUCUGUAUGACUUAUUUCACUUAGCAUAAUGCCCGGUAGGUGUAUCUAUUUGGUUGUGAAUGGCAAAAUUCCAUUUUUUAUGGCUGAUUAAUAGUCUAUUAUAUAUCAGAAUAUACUACAUACGGGUAUAUGUUAUAUAUAUAUGUAUAUGUGUAUAUGUAUAUGUAUAUGUAUAUGUAUAUGUAUAUGUAUAUGUAUAUAUGUAACGCAUACACAUACCACAUCUUUUUUAUCCAUUCAUCUAUCAAUGAACACUUAGGUUGUUUCCAUAUCUUGGCUAUUAUAAAUAAUGCUGCAAUAAAAUAGGGGUGGAAAAAUUUUUAAUUAGCAUUUUUAUUUUCUUCAGGGAAAUACUCAGAAAUGGAAUUGUUGGGUCAUAUGGCAUUUCUAUUUGUAAUUUUUUGAGGAAUUUUCAUACUAUUUUCCAUAGUGAUUUCACCAAUUUAUAUUCCUACCAACAGUGCACAAGUUUCCCUUCUGCCACAUCCCCGCUAACACUUGUCAUUUCUUGUCUUUUUGAUUCUAGGCAUUCUGAUUUGAUUCUAGCCAUUCCCUGAUGAUUAGUGAUGUUGAGCAUCUUUUAACAUGUCUGUUGUUCAUCUGUAUGUCUUAUUUGGAACAAUGUCUAUUCAAGUUCUCUGCCCAGAUUAUCUGAUUAUUAUCUGAAUCAGAUUAUUUGGAGUUUUUGGUGCUGAGUUUGAGUUUUUUAUAUAUUUUGGUUAUUAGCCUUUUAUUGGAUUUAUCAUUUGCAAAUAUUUUUUGCCCAAUAAGUAGGUUGCCUUUUCAUUUUGUUAAUGGUUUUCUUCACUGUGCAAAGUUUUUCGGUUUGAUGUAGUCCCAGUAUUUGAUCUUGCUUUUGUUUUCUUUACCUACUGAGACAUAUCUUGAAAAAUAUUGCUCAGUUUUUCCAACAUCAUUUCUUGAAAAAGCUGUCUUUUCCCCCAUUGUAUAUUCUUGCCUUUUUCUUUCCCUUCCGAGUAGUAACCUUCAGAAGGUCUCGUGCUAUGAGGGACAUCUCCCAUAAGCAAACCUGUCCAAGUAUAGCCCAAAUAGAGCUUGUUGUAUCCUAGUGCCACAUUAUGGUCAUAUAUUUUUCCUACAUUGGAUGAGGAACCUCUUGAACUCACUGAAUACUUUCAAACAAACAAAAAAAUCAACAACUAAAAUGCUGAACAUAAAUUGAAAUUCUGAGGCCCUAUAUGAUCAGUUUGAUUAUUUAUAUUUAAACAUUUUUCUGUUUGUCUUUCUGUUAUGAUCUGGAAAAGAUAAAUGGUCAGAUAGACCCCAGUGAUCUGAAAGAAUACAGACAUAGCUUAUGUUAUUUCAGUUUUCCUUAUUGCACUUCACAGAUGCUGCAUUUUCUACAAAUGGAAGGUUUGUGGCAACCCCUGUGGAGCAAGUCUAGCACCGCCAUUUUUCUAACAGCAUUUACUCACCUUUUAUCUCCGCGUCACAUUUUGGUAAUUCUAUAUUUGAAACUUUUUCAUUAUUAGAAUAUUUGUUAUGGUGAUCUGUGAUCAGUGAGAGUUGGUGUCACUAAUGCAAUUGUUUGGCGGCACCAUGAAAGCAGCCACAUGAGAUGGCAAAGUGUUCUGACUGCUCAGCUGACUGGCUGUUCCACCAUCUCUCUCUUUGUCCUUGGGCCUCACUGUUCCCUGAGAUACAACAAUGUUUAAAUUAGGCAAAUUAACAACCCUACACUGUCUUUUCAGUGUUUGAGUGAAAGGAAGAGCCACAGGUCUCUCACUUCUAAUCAAAAGCUAAAAAUGAUUAAGCUAAGUGCGGAAGGCAUGAAAGCCAAGACAGGCCAUAGGGUAGGCCUCUCGCAUCAAAUAGCCAAGCUGUGAAUGCAAAGGAGAAGUUCUUAAAGGAAAUGAAAAGUGCUAUGGCACUGAACCCACAAAUGAGAAGAAAAAUGAAACAGCCUUAUUGCUGAUAUGGUGAAAGUUUGAGUGGUUUGAAUAGAAGAUCAAACCAGCCACAACAUUCCCUUAAGCAAAAGCCUAAUCCAGAGCAUGACCCUAAUUCUCUCCGUUUCUAUGAAGGCUGAGACAAGAAGCUGCAGAAGAAAAGUUUGAAGCUAGGAAAGGUUGGUUCAUGAGGUUUAAGGAAAGAAGCCGUCUCCAUAACAUCAAAGUUCAAGAUGAAGCAGCAAGUGCUGAUGGAGAAGCUGCAGCAAGUUCUCCAGAAGGUCCAGCUGAGAUAAUUCAUGAAGGUGGCUACACCAACCAACAGAUUUCCAGUGUAGAUGAAACAGCCUUCUACAGGAAGAAGAUAUUAUCUAGGACUUUCAUAGCUAGAGAGGAGAUGUCAAUGCUUGGGUCCCAAACUUCAAAGGACCAGCUGAUUUUAUUGUUACAGGCUAACACAGCUGGUAACUUUAAGUUGCAGCCAGUGCACAUUGGCCAUUCUGAAAAUGCUAGGGCCUUUAUGAAUCUACUCUACCUGCACUGAAUCAAUGGAACAACCUUUAUUUACAAUAGGAUUUACUGAAUUUUAAGCCCACUGUUGCAAUCUACUGCUCAGGAGAGAAGAUUCCAUUCAAAAUAUGACUGAUCAUUGGCACUGGUCACCCAAGAGCUGUGGUGAAGAUGUACAAUGAAAUUAAUGUGUCUUCAUGCCUGCUAACACAACAUCCACCCUGUGGUCCAGUGGAUCAAGGCGUAAUUUUGAGUUUCAGGUAUUAUUAUUUAAGAAAUACAUUUUGUAAUGCUGUACAGGCCACAGGUAGUGAUCCCUUUGAUUAACAAAUAAAUUGACAAAAUAAAUUGAAAAGCUUCUGGAAAGGAUUCACCAUGAGAUGCCAUUAAAAACAUCUGUGACUCAUGGGAAGAGGUGAAAUAUCAACAUUAGCAGAAGUUUGCAAGAAGUUGAUUCCCAAACUCACGGAUGACUUUGAAGGGUUCAAGACUUCAGUAUAGGAAGCAACUGCAGCUGCGGUGGAAAUAAGAAGAGAAAUGAGAAGUGGAGCCUGAACAUGUGACUGAAUUGCUGCAAUCUCAUGAUAAAACUUAAACAGAUGAGGAGUUGUUUCUCAUGAAUGAGUAAAGAACGUGGUUUCUUGGGAAAGAAUAUGCUCCUGGUGAUUGUUGAAAUAAUAACAAAGGAUUUAGAAUGUCACAUAAACUUAGUUGAUAAAGCAUGGGAAGGUUUUGAGAGGACCGACUUCAAUUUUGAAGGAAGUUCUACUGUGGGUUAAAUGCUAUCAAACAUCAUUACAUGCUACAGAGAAAUUGUUCAUGAAAGAAAAAGUCAAUGGAUAUGGCAAAAUUCAUUGUUGUCUUAUUUUAAGAAAUUGCUGCAGGGGUGCCUGGGUGGCUCAGUCGGUUAAGCAUCCGACUCCUGAUUUCAGCUCAGGUCAUGAUCUUAUGGUUCCUGAGAUCAAACACUACAUUGGGUUCCGUGCUUAUGGUGUGGAGCCUGCUUGGGAUUCUCUCUCUCUCACGCUCUCUCUGCUCCUUCCCCUCUCAAUAUCUCUUUCUGAAAAUAAAUAAAUAAACUUAAAAAAAAUUGCUACAGCCACCUCAGCCUUUAGUAACUACCACCUAUCAACAUUGAGGCAAGACCCUCCACAAGCAAAAAGAUUACAAUUUGCUGAAAGCUGAGAUGACGGUUAAAAUUUUUUAGGGAGAAUUUUUAGACAGAAAGUGGUUUUUUAGACAUAAUGCUAUUACACACUUAAUAGACUGCAGUGUAGUGUAAACAUACUUUCAUAUGCACUGGGAAACUAAAAAUCUCAAGUGACACUCUUUAUUGUGACAUUCACUUUAUUGUGGUGAUCUGGAAAUGAACCCACAAUAUCUCUGAAGGUAUGCCUGUAUACUAAUACAUAUCUUUUUCCUCCAUGGGCCCUGCUUUUUUUUUCCCUAACCAACUUUCCCCCCACAGUUUUGAAGAAAAAGGCAAACAUUUAUUUUUCUCCAUAUAAUUCUUCCCCAUUGACUUUCAAUAAUAUUGCAGGAAAUAUUAUGUACUUGCAUGACAGGCUGAAGUAAAACAUUCAUGUGCAUUAUUUUGCAUUUUUUACUAUAGCUAAAGCAUUUCAGGGACGCCUGGGUGGCUCAGUCGGUUAAGGUCCACCUUCAGCUCAGGUCCUGAUCUCACAGUUUGUGGGUUCGAGCCCCACAUAGGUUUCUGUGCUGACAGCUCAGAGCCUGGAGCCUGCUUCAGAUUCUGCGUCUCCCUCUCUAUUUGCCCCUUCCCUGUUUGCAUUCUGUCUCUUUCUGUCCAAAAUAAAUAAGUAUUCAAUUUAAAGCGUUUCAUAUAGAAUUUCACUUUUUGUUCCAGAACACAAUUUUAGAACAUUUUUUUUUUUUACGGUGAUAAAAGCAUAUAACAUAAAACUGACUGUCUUAGGGGUUCCUACGUGGCUCAGUUAGUUAAGCAUCCAAUUCUUGCUUUCAGCUCAAGUCAUGAUCUCAUGGUUUGGGAUUGUGAGAUUGAGCCCUGUGUCAGGCUCUGAGCUGACAGUACAGAGCCUGUUGGGAGUCUCUCUCUCCCUCUCUCUGUGUCUCUCUUUCUCUCUCUCAAAAUAAAUAAAUAAACACUUAAAAAAAACUAACCAUCUUAACCAUUCUUUAAGAUAACAGUACAAUAGUGUUAACUAUAUGCGUGUUGAUGGGCAGGCUAUCUCUGGACUUUUUUCAUCUUUCAAAACAGAAACUGUACACUCACCAAACAAAAUCUCCAUUUUUUCCUCCUCCCCUGACCCUGGCAGCCACCAUUUUACUUUCUGUUUCUAACAGUUUGACUACCUUCGAUACCUUACAUAAGCGGAAGCAUGCGGUAUUUGUCUUUGUGACUGAUUUAUUUCACUUAGCAUCAUAUCCUCAAUUCAUCAGUGUUGCAGCGCAUGACAGAAAUUCUUUCUUUUUUUAAAGGAUGAAUAAUAUUCCACUAAAUACAUGUAUGUAAUAUAUAAUAUAUAUACCUAUAAAAUAAUAUGUAUGUAUAUAUGUAUAUACAUGUAUGUAUCUGUAUAACAUAUAAUUAUAUAUAUUGUAUAUAUAUAUACAAUAUACAUAAUACAAUAAUAUAUAAUAUAACAUAAUACAAUAAUACAUAAUCCAAUAAUAAUAAUACAGUACAAUACAAUAAUAAUACAAUAAUAUAUAACAUAAUAACAUAAUAUAAUAUAUAUAAUUAUAUGUGAAAUAUAUAAUAUAUAUAAUACUUAAAAGUCUAUUCAUCCAUCAAAGACAUUUAGGAUAUUUCCACCUCUUAGCUAUAAAUAAUGCUGCAAUGAACAUGGGAAUACAAAUUUCUCUUCAAGAUGCUAUUUCAAUUAUUUUGUUAAAUAUCUAGAAGUUGGAUUGCUGAAAUGUGUUAGUUAUUUUAUUUUAUUUUUUUAAUUUUAGGGAGAAAGAGUGAGAGAGCAUGAGUUGGGGAGAGGGGCAGAGAGAGAGAAUCUCAAGCAGGCUCCUCACUCAGUGCAGAGCUCAACAUGGGGCUCAAUUCCAUGACCCUGGGAUCACAACCUGAGCCAAAAUUAAGAGUCGGAUGCUCAACCAACUGAGCCAUCCAGGCACUCCUGAAAUGUGUUAGACUUAUUUUUAUUUUUAUUUUUUGAGAAAGAUCAUACGUUUUUACGUAAUAGGCUGCACCAGUUUACAUCCCCACCAAUAGUUCCAAUCUCUCCACAUACACACCAGUACUUGUUAUUUUUUAACUUCAUUUUUAUUUUGAAUUUUUAUAGUGACCAUCCUGAUCAAUGUGAGGUGACAUCUCAUUGUUCUUUUGAUUUGCAUAUGCUUGAUGAUGAAUGACGUUAGACAUCUUCUCAUAUGUAUAUUAGCCAUUUGUAUAUCAUCUUUGGAGAAAUUAUUCAAGUCUUUUGUUAUGUCUUAAUUAGGUGACUUGUUUUAUUGCUAUUGAUUUGUAGGAGUUCUGUAUAUAUUCUGGCUAUUAACCCCUUAUCAGAUAUAUCAUUUGCAAAUAUUUCCUCCCAUUCUGUAGGUUAUCUUUUCACUCUGUCGCAAGCUUCCUUGGGGCUCCUUGGUGGCUCAGUUGGUUAAGCGUCUGACUCAGCUCAGGUCUCAAUCUCCCGAUUCAUGGGAUGGGACCCCGCAUCAGGCUAUGUGCUGACAGCUCAGAGCCUCAAGCCUGCUUCAGAUUCUGUGUCUCCCUCUCUCUCUGCCCCUCCCCUCUUCUCAUACAUUCUCUCUCUCUAUCUUUCUAAAAAUAAAUAAACAUUAAAAAUUUUAAAAAUAAGUUUCCUUUACUGUGCAGAAGCAUUUUAGUUUGAUGGAGUCCCAUUUACCUAUUUUUGCUUUCAUUGCUUGUGCAUUUGGUAUCAUAUUCAAGAAAGUAUUGACAAAUCUAAUGUAGUGAGGAUUUUCUCCUACGUCUUCUAGGAGUUUUGUAAUUUGAGGUCUUAAUGUUUAGGUCUUUAAUCCAUUUUGACUUAUUUUUUUGUGUGUAUAGUGUAAUGUAAAGGUCCAGCUUCAAUGCUUUUACAUGUGGAUAUCCAGUUUUCCCAGCACCAUUUAUUGAAGGCUGUCCUUUUCUCCAUUAUGUAGCCUUGGCACACUUGUGAAAGGUCAGUUGACCAGAUGUCUAAGGGUUUAUUUCUGGGCUUUCUAUUCUGUUUCAUUGGUCUAUAUGCUUGACUUUAUGCUAGUAGCAUAUUGUUUUUAUUACUGUGGCUUUAUAAUAUGUUUUAAAAUCAGGGAGCAUGAGGCCUCCAACUUUUUCUUUCACAAGAAGAUCAUAAGUCUUUUAUGAUCCCAUGUGAAUUUUGGAAUGUUUCUUCUGUGUUCAAAAAAUGCUGUAGGGAUUUUGAGAAGGCUUGCAUUGUAUCAAUAGCUUGCUUUGAGUAUUCUGGGCACUUUUAACACUAAGUAUUCCUGUCCAUGAACACAGGAUGCUUUUUCCUUUAUUUGUAUCGUCAAUAUCUUUCAGCAAUGUUUUAUAGUACUCAGUGCACAAGCGUUUCACCUUCUUGGUUAAGUUUAUUCUUAAGUAUUCUAUCCUUUUUGAUGCUAUUGUAAAUGGGAAUGUUUUCUUAAUUUCCUUUUCAGGUUGUUCAUUGUUAAUGUGCAGAAACACAAUUGAUCUUUGGGUGUCAAUUUUUAUAUUCUAUAACUCUGAUGAACUUGCUUUUUAGACCUAAGUUUUUUGUGGAAUCUUCAGGGUUUUCUACAUAUAAAAUUAUGUUAUCUGUCGAGAUAACUUUACUUCUUUCUAAUUUGGAUGUCUUCUAUUUCGUUUCUUGUCUAAUUGGUCAAGCUAGGACUUCCAGUGCAAGCUCAUAACUUUUUUUUUAACAAGUUUAGAACUUUUAAGAGCAGAUAAUGUUCUUUUUUUAUAGUGUGAUGAUACCACUCUUACCUGCUAGUGGGUGUGAGCUUUGAGUUACUUUUCCACUUUAAGGGAUUCAUAGUCACUGAUCAGUGACAAACUAACCAAGUCCCUUUGAGACUAAUGAUAAUAAUAUUAUUAAUUCACUGUUUUUAUUUUAUAGAUUGACACUUCUUACGUAAUUUCAUUUUUCUCAGUGACCUGACUUUUCAAAAUUGGGGUAUUACUGUUUGUGUUUCUGUAACUGACUAAAACUAAUUGUACCAAAGCAAUUAAUAAGACUUCUGCUACUGUUAAAAAUGGACAAUAAAAUGUAAAAUAGAAAUAUUACUUAUCAUAUGCAAUUAUAAGAACAAAAAGCUAUGAAAUUCACUGUAAUUUUUUCUUGAGAAAUUUUUAUAAGCAAAGUCCUUGAAUAUCCCACAGCCCUCAUGUUCAAUAUGCAACUAUCAUAUACUAAUUAAUCUCAGAAUAACUUUGUUUGAGUGAUAGAGUGACCUUGUUAGACAGGCCAGCAAAGAGAAAUAUAGUUUUUGUUACUGGAAUUUUUUUUUUUUUUUACUUUUUCAUCAUAGUUCAUCAGAUUUGACUUGACAUGAAAUGAAAUUCCUUGCAGGUUUGGAUUUUUUUCUCUCUCCUCCAUAUACACCUGUCCAUUUAAGAUGAUUUAAAAAUUGCUGAUGUGCAGUAAUUUAUUUGACAUUGGCCAGAGAAACAUUUUUCUGGGUAAGUCCCCUGAGGCAAGGGAAAUAAAAGCAAAAUAAACAACUGGGACCAAAACAAAAUAAAAAGCUUUUGCGAAGCAAAAGAAAUCACCAACAAAACAAAAAGGCAACCUACUGAUUGGAAGAAGAUAUUUGCAAAUGAUACAUCCAAUAAAGUCUUAAUAUUCAAAAUAUAUACAGAACUUAUACAACUUGAUACAAAAACCUUAAAUAAUCUGACUAAAAAAUGGACAGAGGACCUGAAUAGACAUUUUUCCAAAGAAGACAUACAGAUGGUCAAUAGACACAUGAAAAGAUGUUCAACACCAUUAAUCAUCAGGGAAAUUCAAAUUAAAACCACAAUGAGAUAUCACUCUACACCUAUCAGAAUGGCUAAAAUAGGGGCGCCUGGGUGGCUCAGUCGGUUAAGCAUCCGACUUCAGCUCAGGUCACGAUCUCACUGUCCGUGAGUUUGAGCCCCGCAUCGGGCUCUGUGCUGACUGCUCAGAGCCUGGAGCCUGUUUCAGAUUCUGUGUCUCCCUCUCUCUCUGACCCUCCCCCGUUCAUGCUCUGUCUCUCUCUGUCUCAAAAAUAAGUAAACAUUAAAAAAAUUUUUUUUAAAGAAUGGCUAAAAUAAAAUAAAAAAAAAAACGAAGACAUAACAAUGUUAUUCUGUAGAGAAAGAAUGUAGAGAAAAAGGAAGCCUUGUAUUCUCUUGGUGGGAAUGCAAAUCGGUGUAGUCAUUGUGGAAAACAGUAUGGAGAUUCCUCAAAAAAAUUAAAAAUAGGGGCUUCUGGGUGGCUCAGUUGGUUAAGUGUCCAGUUUUGGCUCAGGUCAUGAUCUCAUCGUUCAUGAGACUAGGACCCAUAUCAGGUUCUGUGCUGACAGCUCAGAGCCUGGACCCUGCUUCGGAUUCUGUGUCUCCCUCUCUCUCUGCCCCUCCCCUGCUCAUUCACUGUCUCUCUCAGUCUCUCAAAAAUAAAUAAACAUUAAUUUUUUUUAAUUAAAAAAUUAAUUCCAUAUGAUUCAGUAAUUCCACUAUUGGAUAUUUGCACAAAGAAAAUGAAAGCACUAUUUCUAAAAGAUAAAUGCACUCCUAUGCUUACUGAAGCAUUAUUGCAAUAUUCACUAUAUGGAAGCAACCAAAGUGUACAUUACCUACUUAGAUGAAUAGAAGAGAAGAAGUGGUAUACAAUGGAAUAUUACUCAGCCAUAAAAAAGAAUGAAAUUUGGCCAUUUGUAACAGCAAGGGUGGGGUAGAUGGUAUAAUGAUAAGUGAAAUAAAUCAGACAGAGGCAUAAAAAUACCAUAUAUCUUACUAAUAUGUGGAUACCAUAUAUCCACUAAUAUGUGGAAUAUAUCUUACUAAUAUGUGGAAACAAACCAAAUAAAAAAGGAGACAAACAACAACCAAAAACAACCACAAAAAUAGACUCUUAAAUACAGACAACAAAUUGGUGGUGGCCAGAGGGGAGGUAAGUGGGGUGAAAUAGAUAAGGGGGAUUAAAAUAUAAAAAUUCCAGUUAUAAAAUCAGGCAUAAAGAUGAAAAGUAGAGCAUAGAGAAUAUAGUCAACAAGAUUAUAAUGAUGUUGUUUUGUGACAAAUGGUGACUACCUUUAUCGUGAUGAGCACUGAGUAAUAUAUAGUUAAUUGAAUCAUUAUGUUGUAUACCUGAAACUAAUAUAGCAUUGCAGGGGCACCUGGGUGGCGCAGUCGGUUAAGCGACCGACUUCAGCCAGGUCACGAUCUCGCGGUCUGUGAGUUCGAGCCCCGUGUCAGGCUCUGGGCUGAUGGCUCAGAGCCUGGAGCCUGCUUCCGAUUCUGUGUCUCCCUCUCUCUCUGCCCCUCCCCCGUUCACGCUCUGUCUCUCUCUGUCCCAAAAAUAAAUAAAUGUUGAAAAAAAAUUUAAAAAAAUAUAGCAUUGCAUAUUAAUUAUACUUCACUUAAAAAAUAAAUAAAAAAUGAAAAUGCCUAAUUUGUACAUAAUACCAUAUGAGCUAAAUUAACUCAUCCCUUUUUAAGUAAAUCUCUUUUUAGUAAAUAUAUUGAAAUGUCUCAUUUUCAAUCAUUUUUGCGGUUACUGCUGCUAUUGAUUUAUUUUUUUCAAACAAAAUUGGUUGAAGAUUUCUUGGAUGGAGAAAAUUGUGCUGAGUACUGAGAUAAAAAAAAAAUGUGAAUGCAAAGACCUCAUAACCAAAUCUGGUAACAGAACAUCAACCUUGAGUUAAAUACAUUGUCAAAACACAUAUAAUAAGAGGCUUGAUGUCUUAAUUUUCUCUCGCUGUCUUUCAGUUCACAGAGCCUCUUUCCGCUCUAUGAAAUGCUCUUUGCCAUCAUUCAUCAUUAUAUUUACUACAACUCAUCCUUUGAAUUUCUGCUCAGAUGAAAUUUCCAUUAGGCAGCUUUUAUCCCUCUUUCCAAAGUAAAGGGAGAGUACUCCUACAGCGACUUGUUGUUACAUAUCAUAGCACUACUCAAAUUAGUUUUAUUGUGUGUUUGUCUUACCACUAGACUAAAUUUUUUUAAUGUGGCUCAUAACGUUUCUUUGUGUAUCCUCAGCCUAGCCCGACCAUAGAAAGUGCUUAAGGAUGGUUAAGUGCGUCCGUGGAACAAGAAGCCUGACAGCGUUAUGGGAACACACAAAAACAGUUAAUUAUUCUGUUGGAGGUGGCAUGGAGAUUAGUCAGGACAGCUUCCUGGUAGUGAUGACAUUUGAGCCAGACCCUUUAGAGAAGGAAGUAGAAGGAAAAGGGUAUGUCUGGAAAAAAAAUAACUUUUGGAUCAGUUACACGGAUUAGAAAUUACAGAGUUCUAGAAAUCUGUCUACACUGUUUUAAAUAACGGCGUUCUUUUACUCUGCCUUCUCUUUAAAAUCUUUCUUGUACUCUUUGGAUGUAUUUACAUACUGCGUUUUUAUAAUUCACUAUAUAAUUUGACUCAAAAUACUUCUCUCUUUUCUCUUCUACUCACUGUAUGAUUUUCAGUGAAAGGGAAUUUGUAAUACGCUGGACAAAAUAAUUUACUGCCAUUUAAAAUGACCUAGAAAAUGGUUCCUAGCUAGAGAUAGAUACUAGGAGAAUUUCACCGUGGAACUCUUGGCAUCGUCAGUUACUGAGCCUGAAUGCUGGUGUCCUCUCCAUGUUCCUCCACACUGGGCUGUCAUUGGCAUAGAUUUUUAACUUGCUACUUCAAAGAAAAACUAUUUAGAUUUAGAUUGUACAGUGCUCUAGAAGCUCACGUAUGUAUGACAUUCUUACCAUCAAGAGCUAAAACUGUAACUCCCCCCACCUCCCACCCACCACCCUCCUUAAGUGCAACAGGUGUCAUUCCAGGAGAAAAGGUCUCAUAACAGAUCUGUGCGUGGGAAUUUAAUCAGAUAUGUCUGCAAAGUGGAAGGAUCUUUGAUGUCCUCAAUAUAAUUACAGUGGUGAUGGGCUCCAAGCACUAUCCUUGCCACAUUAAUCCAGAAUUUUUCCUAGUAGAUUUUUGAAUGGAAUCGUGAUCAUAAAUGGGGCUGCUGUGAUUUGCAUGUAUGCCUAUUGGACAGGAGAUAUGAGGGAGUCGGGAGGAGGGUGAGUGAAAGGACAACUAAGUCAGAAGAAUAUUGAAAUAUACAAAUGUCAGGAAAUUUUGGUUCCUCAGUGCCAAAGGGAGGGGCUGCCACUGACCUCAUGAGACUUGAGCCCUUUCAUUCUCUGUAUUCUUUUCCUUCUUUUAUUUUACUAGACUACACUGUGACUUUUAAUUUAUUCAUAUCUUAUGAGGAUUUAAUGAGUUUAUCAUUGAACUUAAUAUAAUAAUCCAUCUGACAUAUUAUUGUUAUAUUUAAUAUUGGCCAGGAUGAGAACAGGAAAAAUAUUUUCAUCUGGAAUUUUCACAUACAUUAAAAAAAAAACAACUCAAUGCUAAGGUAAAUUGACUUAUAGCUUUUACAUAUUGAACAGGUUAAUUUCCUCUUGCCAUAAUUUUUGCUACUGUGUAUCACUUGGAAAUUACUUGAGGAUUCUGCUUAAUAGCUUUUUUUCCUUAUAAUUUCACUGGGGAGUACUUUUAUUUGGUGGCAGUAUGUUAACAGGAUUACCUUACAGAUUGUGUGAGAUAAUCAAUGUGAAAAGAACUUUACGAAUUGUAAGUUUCAGGAAGAUGGCGCCAAAAACGAAGAAGGAAGCCCCUGCCCCUCCCAAAGCCGAAGUCAAAGGAAAGGCUUUGAAGGCCAAAAAAGCAGUGCUGAAAGGCAUCCACAGUCAUAAAAAAAAAAAAAAAAAAAAGAUCUACAUUCUGAUGGCCCAAGACACGGCGUCUACUAAGGUAGCCCAAAUAUCCUCAAAAGAGCACCCCCAGGAGAAACAAGCUUGACCCCUAUGCCAUCAUAGUGAAACAAUUUUUUAUCCUUUUAUAUCACAAGCUUGGCAUGUCUUAUUAGCAUCUUCCUACACGUGGCUAAGAGAAGAAACAGACUGUGAUAAGAAUGUAUUUGAAUGUAGAGGCACCUGGGUGGCUCUGUUGGUUAAGCAUCCGACUUCAGCUCAGGUCAUGAUCUCUCAGUUCAUGAGUUUGAGCCCCAGAUCGGGCUCUGCUGACAGCUCGGAGCCUGGAGCCUGCUUUGGGUUCUGUGUCUCCCUCUCUCUCUGCCCCUCCCCUGAUUGUGCUCUGUCUCUCUCUCUCUCAAAAAUAAAUAAACAUUAAAAAAAAGAAUGUAUUUGAAUGUGUUUGUGUCUGAUAUUACCUUAUUGUACAUAAAGAAAUUAAGAUAUUUAUUACACCGUAUAUAUAAUUUAUUCAGUGGAAGUCAGUGAAAAGUCUUCUGAGAAAACAAGGAGCCGUUAAAAUGCCAGGAUAGGAGCAGUGGUGUGAUAGCGCCUUAGACUGGUGUAAGACCAUGGCUUUGAGUCCUGAGUCUACUAUUUAUUAGCUUCAUGACCUUGAGUAUAUGAGCUACAUCAUCAUUUGAUUUGCAUGUGUUUGGAAUAGAACAAUGCAAGCUUACUUCUUCAAAUUGAUAUAAGGAUAUGAGGAUGCUUUGGUACUUUUUUUUUUUUUUUACAUUUUUGUGUGUUCUGCCUCGUUUUCUUUAGAAAAUCUUGUUUUGCUGUGCGAUUCCCACCUAUCUGAUAGGAAGAGUUACUGAGGAUUCCAGAGGCAAUCUGCACAUGAAAUAUCAGUAAGGUUUAUUAUUUUCAUGGUAGGUAUCUCAGAGUGUUGGAGAAAGUGCCUUAAAAAUGGCACUAUUAUUACUUUAAUCCACUGAACUCCCCUUAUCUCCUUACACAACAGUAUGGUAAAAGGUGUUUCAGAAAGUUGUUUAUUUCACCACGAGAUCUUGUCAAAUAUUUCUAAAUGUAAAAGGCUUUCUGUUAUUUUCUUUUUUAAGUUUUUAUUUAUCUAAGUAAUCUCUACACCCUACAUGGGGGUUGAACUCACAACCCUGAGAUCAAGAGUCACAUGCUCCCCCGACUACUGAGUCAGCCAUGAAGAAAAUAGAAGACAACACACUCGUGUUUAUUAUGGUUGUCAAGGCCAACAGGCGCCAAAUUAAACAGAUUGUGAAGAAGCUCUAUGACAUUGAUGUGGCCAAGGUCAACACUCUGAGGAGGCCUGAUGGAGAAAAGAAGGCGUUUGUUCAACUGGUUCCUGACUAUGAUGCUUUAGAUGUUGCCAAUAAAAUUGGGAUCAUCUAAUUGAGUCCCGCUGGCUAAAUCUAAAUAUAAAUUUUUUCACCAUUAAAAAAAAAAGAUUAUA